UGGGGAAUAUUGGACAAUGGGCGCAAGCCUGAUCCAGCCAUGCCGCGUGUGUGAAGAAGGCCUUCGGGUUGUAAAGCACUUUAAGUGGGGAGGAAGGUCAGUAGAUUAAUACUCUGCUGAAUUGACGUUACCCACAGAAUAAGCACCGGCUAACUCUGUGCCAGCAGCCGCGGUAAUACAGAGGGUGCAAGCGUUAAUCGGAAUUACUGGGCGUAAAGCGCACGUAGGUGGUUGCGUAAGUUGGAUGUGAAAGCCCCGGGCUUAACCUGGGAAUUGCAUCCAAAACUGUGCGACUAGAGUAUGGGAGAGGGAGGUAGAAUUCCAGGUGUAGCGGUGAAAUGCGUAGAGAUCUGGAGGAAUACCGGUGGCGAAGGCGGCCUCCUGGCCUAAUACUGACACU
rnacentral:rRNA from 1 species